CGGGAAGUAGCUCAGCUUGGUAGAGCACUUGGUUUGGGACCAAGGGGUCGCAGGUUCAAAUCCUGUCUUCCCGAUCA
rnacentral:tRNA from 1 species